rnacentral:rRNA from 1 species
UUUGAUUUUGGCAUUGGGCGAAGCCUGACCGCAAUGCCGCUGUGAGUGAAGAAGGCCUUCGGGUUGUAAAGCUCUUUUGUCAGGGAAGAAACGGUGCUUUCUAAUACAGAGCGCUAAUGACGGUACCUGAAGAAUAAGCACCGGCUAACUACGUGCCAGCAGCCGCGGUAAUACGUAGGGUGCAAGCGUUAAUCGGAAUUACUGGGCGUAAAGCGUGCGCAGGCGGUUUUGUAAGUCUGUCGUGAAAUCCCCGGGCUCAACCUGGGAAUGGCGAUGGAGACUGCAAGGCUAGAGUUUGGCAGAGGGGGGUAGAAUUCCACGUGUAGCAGUGAAAUGCGUAGAUAUGUGGAGGAACACCGAUGGCGAAGGCAGCCCCCUGGGUCAAGACUGACGCUCAUGCACGAAAGCGUGGGGAGCAAACAGGAUUAGAUACCCUGGUAGUCCACGCCCUAAACGAUGUCUACUAGUUGUCGGGUCUUAAUUGACUUGGUAACGCAGCUAACGCGUGAAGUAGACCGCCUGGGGAGUACGGUCGCAAGAUUAAAACAAACUGCGAAUCUCCCCGGCGGGACCAGUAUAGUUCGUCGAAAAUCUUUCAUAC